ensembl:snRNA U6 U6 spliceosomal RNA
GGUGGGACUUAUGCCAUCAAGAGGCAAUUUCUGGGAUGAUACAGAGAGGGUUAGAAUCGUGGGCCCUGCACAAGGGUGACAUUCAAAUUUGUGAAUUGUUCCCUAUUUUA